UUGCCAGCCCGCUCAAGAAACUCAAAGGAAUUGACGGGGCCCGCACAAGCGGAGGAGCAUGUGGUUAAUUCGAUGAUACGCGAGGAACCUUACCUGGGCUCGAACGUAAGAUGACUGUAGGUGAAAGCUUACAUCUCUUCGGAGCAUUUUACGAGGUGCUGCAUGGUUGUCGUCAGCUCGUGCCGUGAGGUGUCGGGUUAAGUCCCAUAACGAGCGCAACCCCUACCUUUAGUUGCCAUCAGGUAAUGCUGGGGACUCUAAAGGAACUGCCUACGCAAGUAGUGAGGAAGGCGGGGAUGACGUCAAAUCAGCACGGCCCUUACGUCCAGGGCUACACACGUGCUACAAUGGCCGAUACAGAGGGCAGCUACCUGGUGACAGGAUGCAAAUCUCCAAAGUCGGUCUCAGUUCGGAUCGGAGUCUGCAACCCGACUCCGUGAAGUUGGAUUCGCUAGUAAUCGCGCAUCAGCCAUGGCGCGGUGAAUACGUUCCCGGGCCUU
rnacentral:rRNA from 1 species